rnacentral:rRNA from 1 species
AGAGUUUGAUCCUGGCUCAGAUUGAACGCUGGCGGCAUGCCUAACACAUGCAAGUCGAACGCGAAAGUACCUUCGGGUGCGAGUAGAGUGGCGGACGGGUGAGUAAUGCAUAGGAAUCUGCCCUUUAGUGGGGGACAACUACCGGAAACGGUAGCUAAUACCGCAUAAUCUCUUCGGAGGAAAGGCUUCGGCCGCUAUUGGAUGAGCCUAUGUCUGAUUAGCUUGUUGGUGGGGUAAAAGCCUACCAAGGCGACGAUCAGUAGCUGGUCUGAGAGGACGAUCAGCCACACUGGGACUGAGACACGGCCCAGACUCCUACGGGAGGCAGCAGUGGGGAAUAUUGGACAAUGGGCGAAAGCCUGAUCCAGCAAUGCCGCGUGUGUGAAGAAGGCCUGCGGGUUGUAAAGCACUUUCAGUAGGGAAGAUAAUGACGGUACCUACAGAAGAAGCACCGCUAACU